rnacentral:rRNA from 1 species
UACGGGGGGGGCAAGCGUUGUUCGGAAUUACUGGGCGUAAAGGGCUCGUAGGCGGCCAACUAAGUCAGACGUGAAAUCCCUCGGCUUAACCGGGGAACUGCAUCUGAUACUGGAUGGCUUGAGAUUGGGAGAGGGAUGCGGAAUUCCAGGUGUAGCGGUGAAAUGCGUAGAUAUCUGGAGGAACACCGGUGGCGAAGGCGGCAUCCUGGACCAACACUGACGCUGAGGAGCGAAAGCAUGGGGAGCGAACAGG